UUCUUCCUUGUUCUACCCAGUAUGAUUCAUUUGCUCAUUGGAAACGUCCGGUUAUGGUCUAUCUUGGGUUAGUUGUAAAAAAUCUUUGAUUUUACUCUCCCUCAGAAAUAUCAUGUGGCAGCUCGAUUGAUCAUGACCUAACUAUGUCAUCAAAGGAAUGGAUUUGAUAACUGUACUUAAUGUCACAUUGUAGUUCAUUAGUUAUUUGUUGCAAUGGAGCUUCUGCUGAAUGUCAACACAGGCGCCAUUUGUGAACAAUCCUAUACUUUCACACACUUUAAACAGCUAACGUGAGCUACAUUCUUGAUCUUUGUGAAAUUUAUUGUAACAACCCUGGAUUUAUAAGCGUGGAUAUCGACUCUGCCGCUUGAGCAUGAUUUUUGCAGCACAGUCGAUAGCCCGCUGGACUUCGGGCUAGAAGGUCGAGGGUUCGUGACCUGCUCCCUGCUGUUUCAUUACAUUGGUGUCAGAAGUGAUCGGACCUUGCAUCCACGACUGUGCGUGUGCUUGACCGGUGAGCGCGUUCCUAUAAGACGUUGAGUCGCAGGCUAGCAAGGACGCGCUAUUUGAAAGGAGGGAGUAGUGUAAUGACUCUGUAUAAGGGCGGAUAUAGAAUCUGCCACUGGAGGAUGCUUUUGUGGCACAGUCGACAGCGCGUUGGACUUCGGACUAGAAGGUUGAGGGUUCGAGCCUGGGUCAUUAUAUUUUAUUUGCGGAGGGAGAUGAAAUCUAGACGCUUGAUAUCAGAUGUCAUUAUUUAAAGAAUACACCCCAAAAUACACCCAAAUACACCCCUUUAAAACAACGUUUUACUCGUAACGAAAUUACGCGUAAAAAACAACAGAAUAAAAACACACAAAAGCAACCAAUGUACUUUUUGGAACAUCCCAAUUAGGUUCAGCAAAUGUAAGCUUGCGCGUGGCGCAUCGCUUUUGACAAUCGGUUCAACGUUUUUUCGUGCACUUCAGGCGGGGAAAGUUUGCGCGGCAGUGUGUUUCAUUUAUUCUGUUUUAACGGUUUUAGAAAUGGUGAGUAGCUAGCUACAUCUGUGUUUUGAGAAUGACCCAAACAUAUGUAUAAUUUUAAAGUAAGGAAUAAAUCACCCUCGACCACAGCGAGUGUGAGAAAAAAAAUCGCUGUCCAAUUUCUCAGGAGUGAGUUAGCUAGUCAGCAAGCUAUAUAUCACAUUUCUAGGUUAGCUAGCAAGUUAAAAAUACUUAACAUGAACGAAGUGUAUCGCCUGUUCUCAUGCUUGAUAAAUUCAGCUCAUAACAUUAUAGCUAGGUCUUUUAGUUAACUAGUUAAUAAUUUUCCCUCCAAUAAACGACCACGUUUCUAGUUAAUAACAUAACGUACCUAGCUAGCUAAAGUUAGUUGCUCCUCUGCGUCUUUGUUACGCUAGCAAGCUAGGGCCCGGCCAUCCAAGAUAGGCAAUCGUUCAUUACCUGUCUGGCAAACUAGCUAGUUUUGUCACAUGAAUAAUAAUAAUUUGUUAUAGUUAACUUUAGCUAAUCAAGUUUUUCUAUAGGUAAGUUAGUUAGGAACUAACUGGCCGGGAAAGGGUGGACAAUGACAGUACCCUGAUGGCUGAAAUAGAAGUGGAUUGCCCUCAGAGUUCCCCUUGCCUUUUUGACGUUCUAAUCCUGGAUAGAAUGGUUGAGCACAGGGUAUAACUAAUUCCUUUCACCUGUGAUUGAGCUAGCUAGCUGGAUCAAUAGAUUCUCCAUCUGAUGAUGAGGCUUACUCUGAGAUGGCUACAAUCUUUCUGCCCACUUGAGCAUGUUGUGAUUGGAAGUUGUAGAAAAGUGAAAGGCAACUGGUAUGACCAAUGUCUAGCUACUUUAAUUUCUUCCAGGAUAUCCAGAAACAGAGAAACGGAUGUCAGACUUCCGAAAGUUUGAAGCUGUCAAAUGGUUAUAUUUUACCUGAAGGUAAAAUGACUCCAAACACACUUUUUGUUGGAGGAAUCGACAUGAAGGUGGAUGAGAACGAAAUCCGGGACUUCUUUGCGAGAUUUGGUGCCGUGAAGGAAGUGAAAAUCAUCACUUACCGUGGAGGUAUCUGCAAAGGUUAUGGAUUUGUUUACUUCAAUGAAGACGUCGACAUCCAAACCAUUGUUGAACAACAGAUCAGUUUUAAAGGGAGGAAACUCAAGCUGGGUCCAGCAAUCAUGAAGGAAAGGAGCUCACGUUCCAUGCCGUCUCACCUGGUUGGUCAGGCCCCCUGGUUAACCCCCUCCCAGUACAUCUACUGCACUUGCUGCUCUCCUAUGGGCGGGGGCAUGGCUCAGCCUUCACCUGUACUCAAUGGCGGCAAUCCCUACUUCCAGCCUUACUCGUACAACGGCUUUCCAGGAGUCAUGAUUCCACAGAUGCCCAUGAGCUACUCACAAACCGCUUACGCGUACCAGUACGCCUCACCACACUGGACUGGGGAGCAGAGGACACGGCUCAUCAACCAGCCGGCUCAUUAUGUGAUGUGAUGCCCCGUUUCCAGAACUUUGUGGACUGCGGAGUCCAGACUCUGCUGUAGUCCACAGCCCACUGACCCUCCUGCUGUACCAGGGGGCGACGUCUCCAUGCAGACUGGAGCACAAGGUGACAUCCUGGCCUUUUAGAGAGCUAGCAGCAAUAGACUUUAAAAAUAUACACUUUCAGGAUGCUUUCUCUCUACGACAUCUCUUGCUCACUUUGAGACCCGACCGCGGCGGCUCAACACUUGCACCUGCACCCGAUGGGCGUGGUCACUGUGACCGUGUUUGGCUUGGCUAGGACCAUGGUCCUGGCGCUUGGACCGCUUUCAACCCAUCUCGAACACUGUCACAGGGAAGAGCGGAAGGGAUUUUGGAGCUUCAGCUUGUUUACAGCACAGAGCAACGCUUGGUGUCUGCCUUUUUUUUUUGUGUGUGUGUGGGGGGGGGGGGGUGGUUUGAUAACCCCCCAAAAGAAAAUAGUUUUAAGCUCAUCUGUGCAUAUUUAUAUUUUAUGUUUGACUAUUUAUGUUGAAAGUUUUUUAAUGUCAGUUUGUUUGGGUGUAAGAUUUUUGCUGGGCUUCUGUACAUAGAUUUGUAAUACAACAAAUUAGCCUUUAGAAUAGUGUGUUGAUUUUGACUUUUUCUAUUAUUAAUUCAAGAUUCCAUCCCCAUAUUCCUCUGAUUUAAGAAACGAAUGCAUCAAAUUAUUGUGGGCAGAAUUGGGCACAACACUGGCACAUUAUUUUUCAGGCGCUCCUGUUGCCUUAGUGCUCUUUUAUAUAAUUUCUUGACAGGUUCCCGUCUUAAGCUACUUAAAUCACCUCUUUAUUUCAAUUUACUUCAGUGAAUUAGAAGUGCCUGCCUGCUUUUUUUGUUGAGGGGUUAAUUGAUUCGAUGUUAGUGUAUUUACAAUUGGGAUGCACUGAUAUCUUCUCCAGUGUUGCUGUUUACAAAGUUAUGAAUCCUUUUAUUGUGGGCAAUGUUUCUUAGGCUGCGUACCACAUGUCACCCUUGUCCUUAUUUAGUGCACUACUUUUGACUAGAACCCAGAGCAACAGUAGUGAACUAUAGGGAAUAUGGUGUUAUUUGGCACCGAGGCCUUUGAGUGUUGCCGUUUCUUAAGUUAUGGAUCCUGUGGCCAAUGUUUCUAUAGACGGUUCCAGCUCUUGUAGUACGUCGCCAAGAGGAAAAUCAUUGAGUCAAUUUCACCUGACGGUGUUGAUAAACUACUUUUAUAAUGCAGCCCAGCAGCCUGGGUCGGGAAACGUGUUUUAAUUCACUCUGAAAUGAAGGACAUAACUAACAGCAAUGCGUUUCAUCACUACUGGUUGAAGUUCUCUUAAAGUUCACUUUAUAUAUUUAUUGUUGUUGCACUGAUUGAUUUGUUGACAAAGUGUGUUUUGUAAGAAUGUUUAGCUCCUUUUUUUAGAGGUGUGAUUUCAUGUGUUUAUGACGCAUUAAUACUAUAUUUUCAGUUUGAUUCUAAUCACUUUUCAGCCCGACGGGUUAACUGGUUGCAUUUAAAAUAGAUAAACACAUUUUGCAUUUCAAUAUAUUUAUUUUUUGAUAGAUCAGUUGAGAGAAAUGUGUUGACUCUUUGUCUUCUAAGGCAGUGUUUCCCAAAUACCUUUCUAUUUGUUUGUUUGAAAGAUAAGCUUGAAAUUGGGAUUGGCUCAACAACCACAAACACACAUCUAAGUUUAGCUUUGUUAUAAUGAACCAGACAAUCUAUAGUUAUUUCUGGUUGUUUGUGAAAGUUAGCUGGCUAACUCAUUGAUCCUGCUUUGUAUUAUAACCCUUGGAGUUUUUUCCCAGAAGAGUACACUGUUUCUGAAAUAUUUAUCUGUUUACUGUUGCAUAGCUGCUCUGUCUUCACUGUGGACUGGUUGACAUCUGAAGUUGGUCAAGACCCAGAGUGUGAUCCAAAGAGCAGACAUGCCUAACGAUUCUACUACGGUCAAUUAAAGUAUGAAGCUGGCCUUAACUUUAGUCAGCUUUGUUUUAUUUGUUAGGAUUUGGUGAAGGUACAAUUUGUGACCCGGGGUGGUUAUUUUUUUGUCUGUGUACCUGCAAUG